rnacentral:lncRNA from 10 species
GCUCUCAGCUUCUGUUCCUCAACCACGGCCGCCGCGUGGAUGCCGCUGCAUUCGGAGUCGUUUUGCCACUUGGUCCCAGCGCCAGGCUUCUCGGUCGGGAGUUGACCUCAGCCUUUCUGUGACCCAGUUCCUGGCACCCAGCAGGCGCUCGGUGGACGGAUGGGUGGCGGAAUGAAGGACACAGAGGCCACUGCGGGGUCUGGCCUCUAAGAGGCUUUUACGGCCUCCUCCGUCACUACCGGGCGAGUGAUUCAGCCUGCCUUUUUUUUUUUUUUUUUUUUUUGAGAUGGAGUCAAGCUCUGUCGCCCAGGCUGGAGUGCAGUGGCACGAUCUCGGCUCACUGCAACCUCCGCCUCCCAGGUUCAAGCGAUUUUCCUGCCUCAGCCUCCUGAGUAACUGGGAUUACAGGUCUCCAUGCCAGUGAAAUGUCACCUCAACUCCACCGUCCCUGGUGUCAGGCAAGCCCGAGGGACCCAAUUCUGCCUUUCUUCUGGAUUUUCCUAACCUGUUAAGAGUCUUGAAAGUCCUUAAACCACGGGAGACUAUCUGGCACAUGACACGGGAUGAGACUUGGUGGGGGUCCCACGGGGGACAGGUCCUUCCAGCGGUUCCUCUGCACCCAGCGCUGCACGGGCAUGGGGCGUGGGUAAUCAGCCUCCCGAAAGCCACGCGAGUCACGGUCCUGCCUGCGAAGAACUCCCAGGGCGACCUUGGGGCUGAGGAGUGGGCCUGCUUCGGCCUUCUGCUCUUCUGUUGUGUGGUGACCCUCACCAGAGGACAGCUUCAUGCUCUUGGACUUCCCAGCCUCAAGAACUGUAAGAAAUAAAUUUCUUUAUAAGUUGCCCAGUCUGUGGUAUUUGGUUAUAGCAGCAGGAAAUGGAGUGAGACAAUGCCCUUUACCAGAUCAAAUUCCCUUUCAUUUCUACUUUGCUGUUUUUACCAUUAAUAGAAUGUGAAA